rnacentral:rRNA from 1 species
GCUCUAAUACAUGCAGUCGAACGCUUCUUUUCCCACCGGAGCUUGCUCCACCGGGAAAAGAGGAGUGGCGAACGGGUGAGUAACACGUGGGUAACCUGCCCAUCAGAAGGGGAUAACACUUGGAAACAGGUGCUAAUACCGUAUAACAAUCGAAACCGCAUGGUUUCGUUUUGAAAGGCGCUUUACGGUGCCGCUGAUGGAUGGACCCGCGGUGCAUUAGCUAGUUGGUGAGGUAACGGCUCACCAAGGCCACGAUGCAUAGCCGACCUGAGAGGGUGAUCGGCCACAUUGGGACUGAGACACGGCCCAAACUCCUACGGGAGGCAGCAGUAGGGAAUCUUCGGCAAUGGACGAAAGUCUGACCGAGCAACGCCGCGUGAGUGAAGAAGGUUUUCGGAUCGUAAAACUCUGUUGUUAGAGAAGAACAAGGGUGAGAGUAACUGUUCACCCCUUGACGGUAUCUAACCAGAAAGCCACGGCUAACUACGUGCCAGCAGCCGCGGUAAUACGUAGGUGGCAAGCGUUGUCCGGAUUUAUUGGGCGUAAAGCGAGCGCAGGCGGUUUCUUAAGUCUGAUGUGAAAGCCCCCGGCUCAACCGGGGAGGGUCAUUGGAAACUGGGAGACUUGAGUGCAGAAGAGGAGAGUGGAAUUCCAUGUGUAGCGGUGAAAUGCGUAGAUAUAUGGAGGAACACCAGUGGCGAAGGCGGCUCUCUGGUCUGUAACUGACGCUGAG